ensembl:snoRNA Gm22840 predicted gene, 22840
UAGUAUGUUUCCAGGGACUUACGCUGAGUUAUGGUCAUGGAAUCCCCAACCAUAUCACAGAGCGAGACGGAGACACUCUGACAGCUUGGCUCAGGUCAGCACAGUACCUGUGGCUGUUAUUAUCUUUCUGAGAAGG